AUGGCUUUGGUCGCUCACUACAUAGAUGUCGAUUGGGUUAUGCAAUGUCGUGUCCUGAACUUUAUUGAGUUAGAUCCACCACAUUCAGGAAGCAUCAUAGCUCAAGCAAUAUUUGAAUGUUUAUGUGAAUGGAAAAUAGAGGACAAGGUCAUCUCAAUCACAGUUGACAAUGCUAGAAAUAAUGAUGGAGCUGUGAGGAAUUUGAUUAACAAGUUUGUUGCAAGGAAAGUACCUGGCUUCAUUUCCACACAUUUUCAUGUUCGUUGUUGUGCUCACAUAGUCAACUUGGUAGUGAAUGAUGGUUUGGAACCAUUGCAAGCUUUUAUUAGCUCGCUAAGGGAAACUGUGAAGUAUCUGAAGAAGUCUCCUAGUCGCAUGUAUAAAUUCCUUGAAGUUUGUAAAACACUGAAUAUAGAACCUGGGGCUGGAUUAUGUCUAGAUGUGUCAACAAGGUGGAAUUCAACAUACAAGAUGUUUGAUUCUUGUACUCCCUAUAGGCCUGUUUUUCAUGAAUAUGCAGACUCUGAUAUGAAUUACACGUGGGAGCCUUCUCAUGCAGAUUGGAAUAUGUAUUCCAAGGUGCAACCAAUCUUGACGCAAUUUGCUGAAAUAACUAAGGUGUUAUCAGUAUCUAUAUACCCUACAGCAAGUAUCUUUUACCCUUAUAUAGUGACUGUCAAAAUGGAGAUAGUGGCUGCAUGUCAUUCUAAAGAUAAGCAUCUAUCAGCUAUGGCGUACGCAAUGAUAGAUAAAUUUGAUAAGUAUUGGGCGGAGAAAAACAAUGUUAUGGUUCUUGCUACUGUUUUAGAUCCUAGGUGGAAGAUGAGAUUUGUUGGUUACUGUUUUAGAAAGAUUUAUGGUGAAACCAAGGGCUGUGAGGAGGAAGCUGAGGUUAGAAAGGAGUUGUACGACCUAUAUGACACUUAUGAGGCUGAGUAUCGCCAAAAGAAUUCUGCUACUCAAAAUACUGGAGGUACGUCUUUGAGUAUGCAAUCAAGGGCAUCAACAACCACAGUAUGA
rnacentral:rRNA from 1 species